CCUACGGGCGGCUGCAGUCGAGAAUCAUUCACAAUGGGGGAAACCCUGAUGGUGCGACGCCGCGUGGGGGAAUGAAGGUCUUCGGAUUGUAAACCCCUGUCAUGUGGGAGCAAAUUAAAAAGAUAGUACCACAAGAGGAAGAGACGGCUAACUCUGUGCCAGCAGCCGCGGUAAUACAGAGGUCUCAAGCGUUGUUCGGAAUCACUGGGCGUAAAGCGUGCGUAGGCUGUUUCGUAAGUCGUGUGUGAAAGGCGCGGGCUCAACCCGCGGACGGCACAUGAUACUGCUAGACUAGAGUAAUGGAGGGGGAACCGGAAUUCUCGGUGUAGCAGUGAAAUGCGUAGAUAUCGAGAGGAACACUCGUGGCGAAGGCGGGUUCCUGGACAUUAACUGACGCUGAGGCACGAAGGCCAGGGGAGCGAAAAGGAUUAGAUACCCCAGUAGUC
rnacentral:rRNA from 1 species